GCUUCACUGUCAUGACCGAGGGUACAUGGUGACCCAGGAUGAGCUGAACCAGACACUCGAGGAGUUCAAGGCGCAGUCUGAUGACAACCCAGUGAAGGAUGACCAAGGCGCACAGACCUCACCAUGCCGGUGGCCCACAAUGUCGACCCCACAGACCAGAUGUUUGUUUUUUCUCCAGAGGAGCCCAAGGUGGGCAUCAAGACCAUCAAGGUGUACUGCCAGCGCACGCAGGAGGAGAACAGGCACUGAUCGUGGUGCAGUAGGGCAGGAUACCCUCCGCCAAGCGGUCCAUUUGUGGACAUGGUCCCUAAGUAGGCACUGGAACAGUUUCUACAGAAGGAACUGCUCAUCAAUAUCGCAGAACAUGAGCUAGUCCCUGAGCAUGUAAUCAUGACCAAGGAGGUGACCGAACUGCUUGCUCGGUACAAGCUUCUUGAGAGCCAGCUGCCCAGAAUCCAGAUCCGGGGACCCUGUGACACAGUACUUUGGGAUCAAGCAAGGGCUGAUUGUGAAGAUCAUCUGCCCCAGUGAGACA
rnacentral:lncRNA from 1 species